rnacentral:lncRNA from 1 species
AGGAAAUAAAAAGGGGCAAGUGCCCGGAACCUCGAAAGAAAAUAAAAAGUGAGACGAGAGGUAAAAAUGGAUGUGUCCGACAGUAGAAUUACGGGUACAAAACCUGAGAGAAAAGAAAAAGAAAAGAGAGAGCAUCUCAUUCUCCUCAAAAAGUUUCAAAGAGCAAGAAAGGUAUGCAUCCCCUCAAAAGAGCAACAAGUAGAAUUAGACUUUCACCAUUGUUAUCAUCAUCAUCACCAUACACCAUUCAUUCGCCACACAUGCACAUCUUGAUUUGACUUAUUAACUUGUUUCUUUGGAUCCAUGGUUUGACUAUAUAAUAAAUGUCUUGUAAGUAUGUAUACUUUAUCUCCCACCUAUGAGCUCCAGAAAUCAAAACCUUAUUAGAGUAGGGUGAGAGAGAAGGCAAUGUCACUAUGCCUCAUACCAAAAAUACUACAUACUUUGAGAGAAUGCAUAUACUAUCACUGCCUUGGUAAGGAUCCAGAAAUACCACAA